rnacentral:rRNA from 1 species
AGAGUUUGAUUAUGGCUCAGGACGAACGCUGGCGGCGUGCCUAACACAUGCAAGUCGAACGGAGUAAGAUUUCGGAUUUACUUAGUGGCGAACGGGUGAGUAACGCGUGAACAACCUGCCUUCUGAGGGGGAUAACACCUGGAAACAAGUGCUAAUACCGCAUAAGACCACAGAGCCGCAUGACUCAGGGGUCAAAGGAGCGAUCCGCAGGAAGAGGGGUUCGCGUCCCAUUAGCUAGUUGGCGGGGCAACGGCCCACCAAGGCGACGAUGGGUAGCCGAGCUGAGAGGCUGAUCGGCCACACUGGAACUGAGACACGGUCCAGACUCCUACGGGAGGCAGCAGUGGGGAAUAUUGGGCAAUGGGCGCAAGCCUGACCCAGCCAACGCCGCGUGAGGGAAGAAGGUCUUCGGAUUGUAAACCUCUGUCCUAUGUGACGAAGGAAGUGACGGUAGCAUAGGAGGAAGCCCCGGCUAACUACGUGCCAGCAGCUGC